rnacentral:rRNA from 1 species
UACGGAGGGGGCUAGCGUUGUUCGGAAUUACUGGGCGUAAAGGGCGCGUAGGCGGGUCGUUAAGUUGGGGGUGAAAGCCCAGGGCUCAACCCUGGAAUUGCCUUCAAUACUGGCGACCUUGAGUAUGGCAGAGGUGUGUGGAACUCCGAGUGUAGAGGUGAAAUUCGUAGAUAUUCGGAAGAAACACCAGUGGCGAAGGCGACACACUGGGCCAUUACUGACGCUGAGGCGCGAAAGCGUGGGGGAGCAAACAGG